UUAUCAUUUAGAGGAAGGAGAAGUCGUAACAAGGUUUUCAUAGGUGAACCUGUGAAAGGAUCAUUGUCGAAACCUGCACAGCAGAACAACCCGCGAAUCGGUGACAACCGACGAAGGGCAGGGGGAGCUCGUUAUCCCCUUGCCCCCCCUGCGGGCAGGUACCUCAUGUCUCCUGCAAGUAAACCGAACCCCGGUGCAGAACACACUAAGGAAAUCGAACCAAGAGGGCCUCGCUAGAGGCCCCGGACAAGGUGCACCCCCUGCGUCGACGUCUUAUGAAUUAUCCAAAACAACUCCUAACAACAGAUAUCCAGGCUCUCGCAUCGAUGAAGAACGUAGAGAAAUGUGAUACUUGGUGUGAAUCGUAAAAUCUCGCGAAUCAUCGAGUUUUUGAACGCAAGUUGCGCUUGAAGCCAUUCGGCCAAGGGCACGUCUGCUUUGGUGUCACGCAUCAUUGCCUUCCCCUCCAAACGCCAGUUCGGGCAUGGUGAAAGUUGGCCUCCCGUUCACACCCAUGCACGCAGUUAGCCCAAAAUCGAGUCCUUGACGACGAGCGCCAUAACAAUCGGUGGUUUUUCGACCCUCGUUCCUCAUCAUGCGCACCUCAUUGCCUGAACACGCUACGACCCUCACGCGUUGCCUUGGCUGCGCUCCCAACGCGACCCCAAGCUAGGCGAGACUACCUGCUGAGUUUAAGCAUAUCAAUA
rnacentral:misc_RNA from 1 species